rnacentral:rRNA from 1 species
UACGUAGGGCGCGAGCGUUGUCCGGAAUUAUUGGGCGUAAAAGAGUCUCUGUGAGCGGUGUGUCGCGUCGGCCGUGAAAACCUGCAGCUUAACUGUGGGCUUGCGGUCGAUACGGGCAUCACUGGAGUUCGGCAGGGGAGACUGGAAUUCCUGGUGUAGCGGUGAAAUGCGCAGAUAUCAGGAGGAACACCGGUGGCGAAGGCGGGUCUCUGGGCCGAUACUGACGCUGAGGAGCGAAAGCGUGGGGAGCGAACAGG